GAUGAACGCUGGCGGCGUGCCUAAUACAUGCAAGUCGAACGCGCAGCGAAAGGUGCUUGCACCUUUCAAGCGAGUGGCGAACGGGUGAGUAACACGUGGAUAACCUGCCUCAAGGCUGGGGAUAACAUUUGGAAACAGAUGCUAAUACCGAAUAAAACUUAGUAUCGCAUGAUACAAAGUUAAAAGGCGCUACGGCGUCACCUAGAGAUGGAUCCGCGGUGCAUUAGUUAGUUGGUGGGGUAAAGGCUUACCAAGACGAUGAUGCAUAGCCGAGUUGGGAGACUGAUAGGCCACAUUGGGACUGAGACACGGCCCAAACUCCUACGGGAGGCUGCAGUAGGGAAUCUUCCACAAUGGGCGCAAGCCUGAUGGAGCAACGCCGCGUGUGUGAUGAAGGCUUUCGGGUCGUAAAGCACUGUUGUAUGGGAAGAAAUGCUAAAAUAGGGAAUGAUUUUAGUUUGACGGUACCAUACCAGAAAGGGACGGCUAAAUACGUGCCAGCCGCCGCCGUAA
rnacentral:rRNA from 1 species